AGUGAACGCUGGCGGUAGGCCUAACACAUGCAAGUCGAACGGCAGCACAGUAAGAGCUUGCUCUUAGGGGUGGCGAGUGGCGGACGGGUGAGGAAUACAUCGGAAUCUACUUUUUCGUGGGGGAUAACGUAGGGAAACUUACGCUAAUACCGCAUACGACCUACGGGUGAAAGCAGGGGAUCUUCGGACCUUGCGCGAUUGAAUGAGCCGAUGUCGGAUUAGCUAGUUGGCGGGGUAAAGGCCCACCAAGGCGACGAUCCGUAGCUGGUCUGAGAGGAUGAUCAGCCACACUGGAACUGAGACACGGUCCAGACUCCUACGGGAGGCAGCAGUGGGGAAUAUUGGACAAAGGGCGCAAGCCUGAUCCAGCCAUACCGCGUGGGUGAAGAAGGCCUUCGGGUUGUAAAGCCCUUUUGUUGGGAAAGAAAAGCAGCAGGUUAAUACCCCGCUGUUCUGACGGUACCCAAAGAAUAAGCACCGGCUAACUUCGUG
rnacentral:rRNA from 1 species